CAUGUGGUUAGAUUUUCCGGAACUUGCGUUGCCGUCUAAAUUUCUCUCAAUUCGGAUUUUGUAAUUUUUGUUGUGAAUUGAAAUAAAACACGAAAUCCAUGUUAUAACGAACAAUUGGAUGAUAUUCGACAGGCUGCCUUCUUCUUACCUUUAAUAAACCGAUUCCACCACUUGACCUCAGCUUCAUGUCAGAUAUCAGCCGUACAAAAUUUCAAAACAGAACAUCACGCUAACAAACACCAGAACAACUUGGGUAACAACGGUAGCAGUAUACAUAUGACUUGUACGGUUUAGUUGUUACAUUCAACACAAAACAAUUCUAAAUUUGCUACCUGUUAGAUGAAUGAAAUGGGUUUGUGCUUGUUUGCUGUCUCAGCAAUUGUCCUCUGUACCGCGCUAGGAGAAAAGCAAGACGAUAUCUUGAUAUCGAAAAUUGGGAAACUUCAUUUUCAACUUUUCAAGUCUAUCCAGAGAAAAUUUAAUUUGCUCAAAACCGCGACGUUUGAAACUUGGUGUUCGAGUGAUGGGUGUACUUUCAAUAACUUCACUCGGGCAAAACAAACUCAACGACACCUAAAAUGCAGGGAUGGAUGGCAAAAAUUUAACGAGCAUUGCUACAAACUCGUAACCACCAAAGUAAACUUCUUUGAGGCGGAGAUGUACUGCCGUAAAGAGCAGUCAUCAUUGGUAGAUAUUGAUAAUGCAGAGGAAGAUGCCUGGAUUAAAGGAUUUAAAAAAGAUUUUCUAUGGAUCUCUGGUACUGAUUUAGCUACACAUGGCGAGUGGAGAUGGCUAUCCUCAGGGGAAACCAUGAAGUUUACAAACUGGGCGAUAGACCAACCACAAAACAACCAGGAACAUUGUGCUAAUUACUACAUCGGUGGCUGGCAUGAUGCCUCUUGUUCCAAUCUUAAGUCACCUUUCAUCUGCAAAUAUUGAUCAUCUACUGUCUGAUGUAAUCGUAAUAUUAAAUAAACAUGUAAAUGAUAGA